UACGUAGGGGGCAAGCGUUGUCCGGAAUCAUUGGGCGUAAAGAGCGUGUAGGCGGCUUGGUAAGUCCGCUGUGAAAGUCCAGGGCUCAACCCAGGAAUGCCGGUGGAAACUGUCAAGCUUGAGUCCGGAAGAGGCGAGUGGAAUUCCUGGUGUAGCGGUGAAAUGCGCAGAUAUCAGGAGGAACACCAAUGGCGAAGGCAGCUCGCUGGGACGGUACUGACGCUGAGACGCGAAAGCGUGGGGAGCAAACAGG
rnacentral:rRNA from 1 species